AGUGAACGCUGGCGGUAGGCCUAACACAUGCAAGUCGAACGGCAGCACAGGAGAGCUUGCUCUCUGGGUGGCGAGUGGCGGACGGGUGAGGAAUACAUCGGAAUCUACUUUUUCGUGGGGGAUAACGUAGGGAAACUUACGCUAAUAACGCAUACGACCUACGGGUGAAAGCAGGGGACCUUCGGGCCUUGCGCGUUUGAAUGAGCCGAUGUCGGAUUAGCUAGUUGGCGGGGUAAAGGCCCACCAAGGCGACGACCCGUAGACUGGUCUGAGAGGAUGAUCAGCCACACUGGAACUGAGACACGGUCCAGACUCCUACGGGAGGCAGCAGUGGGGAAUAUUGGACAAUGGGCGCAAGCCUGAUCCAGCCAUACCGCGUGGGUGAAGAAGGCCUUCGGGUUGUAAAGCCCUUUUGUUGGGAAAGAAAUCCAGCUGGCUAAUACCCGGUUGGGAUGACGGUACCCAAAGAAUAAGCACCGGCUAACUUCGUGCCAGCCGCCGCGGUAA
rnacentral:rRNA from 1 species